CGCGGCCUAUCAGCUUGUUGGUGGGGUAAUGGCCUACCAAGGCGUCGACGGGUAGCCGGCCUGAGAGGGUGUACGGCCACAUUGGGACUGAGAUACGGCCCAGACUCCUACGGGAGGCAGCAGUGGGGAAUCUUGCCCAAUGGGCGCAAGCCUGAGGCAGCAACGCCGCGUGGGGGAUGAAGGCUUUCGGGUUGUAAACCCCUUUCAGCAGGGACGAAGAUGACGGUACCUGCAGAAGAAGCCCCGGCCAACUACGUGCCAGCAGCCGCGGUAAGACGUAGGGGGCGAGCGUUGUCCGGAAUUAUUGGGCGUAAAGGGCUCGUAGGCGGUUCGGUAAGUCAGAUGUGAAAACUCAGGGCUCAACCCUGAGACGCCAUCUGAUACUGCUGUGACUUGAGUUCGGUAGAGGAGUGUGGAAUUCCUGGUGUAGCGGUGAAAUGCGCAGAUAUCAGGAGGAACACCUACGGCGAUGGCAGCACUCUGGGCCGAAACUGACGCUGAGGAGCGAAAGCGUGGGUAGCAAACAGGAUUAGAUACCCUGGUAGUCCACGCCGUAAACGGUGGGCACUAGGUGUGGGGCCUUAUCAACGGGUUCCGUGCCGAAGCUAACGCAUUAAGUGCCCCGCCUGGGGAGUACGG
rnacentral:rRNA from 1 species